rnacentral:rRNA from 1 species
GACGGACGCUGGCGGCGUGCUUAACACAUGCAAGUCGAACGAUGAACCAGGGCUUGCCCUGGGGAUUAGUGGCGAACGGGUGAGUAACACGUGGGCAACCUGCCCCAGACACCGGGAUAACCAUUCGAAAGAGUGGCUAAUACCGGAUACGACCACUUUGGGCAUCCAACGGUGGUGGAAAGGAUUCUGGUCUGGGAUGGGCCCGCGGCCUAUCGGCUUGUUGGUGGGGUAAUGGCCUACCAAGGCGACGACGGGUAGCCGGCCUGAGAGGGCGACCGGCCACACUGGGACUGAGACACGGCCCAGACUCCUACGGGAGGCAGCAGUGGGGAAUAUUGCGCAAUGGGCGAAAGCCUGACGCAGCGACGCCGCGUGAGGGACGAAGGUCUUCGGAUUGUAAACCUCUUUCAGCAGGGACGAAGCGAAAGUGACUGUACCUGCAGAAGAAGCACCGGCUAACUACGUGCCAGCAGCCGCAGUAAGAC